ensembl:miRNA Gm22239 predicted gene, 22239
UGUACAUGCAGGUUUGUAUAGUUGUGUGUGUAUGUUCAUGUGUCUAUAUGGAUAUACAUAACAUAUACAUAGACAUAUAAACCCUAGCGUGCACACACACACA